AUUGAACGCUGGCGGCAGGCUUAACACAUGCAAGUCGAGCGAGCGGCGGACGGGUGAGUAAUGUCUGGGAACCUGCCUGAUGGAGGGGGAUAACUACUGGAAACGGUAGCUAAUACCGCAUACCAUCAGAUGUGCCCAGAUGGGAUUCGCUAUUAGGUGGGGUAAUGGCUCACAUAGGCGACGAUCCCUAGCUGGUCUGAGAGGAUGACCAGCCACACGGGAACUGAGACACGUUCCAGACUCCUACGGGAGGCAGCAGUGGGGAAUAUUGCACAAGGGGCGCAAGCCUGAUGCAGCCAUGCCGCGUGUGUGAAGAAGGCCUUCGGGUUGUAAAGCACUUGCAGCGAGGAGGCGUUACUCGCAGAAGAAGCACCGGCUAACUCCGUGCCAGCCGCCGCGGUAAUUC
rnacentral:rRNA from 1 species